UUCCAAAAAGGUUUCGAUCGUGUCUAUGAGCCUCAGAUACCAGAGUGUAGCCAUAGAGCCACUGAUGGUGCGGAACCAGUAAACGAUCAUGAAGAUUCUAUGCCUAAUGCCAAACCGUUGGGCCUUGGCCAAGCAGGCACUACAAUCGACAGAGAUGAACACAAGCGCUUUGUGAGGGAAGUUCACGAGGAAGUAACUGAGGCAAGGCAGAAGGCC